rnacentral:rRNA from 1 species
GAUGAACGCUGGCGGCGUGCCUAAUACAUGCAAGUCGAGCGAAUGGAUUAAGAGCUUGCUCUUAUGAAGUUAGCGGCGGACGGGUGAGUAACACGUAGGUAACCUGCCCAUAAGACUGGGAUAACUCCGGGAAACCGGGGCUAAUACCGGAUAACAUUUUGAACCGCAUGGUUCGAAAUUGGAAGGCGGCUUCGGCUGUCACUUAUGGAUGGACCCGCGUCGCAUUAGCUAGUUGGUGAGGUAACGGCUCACCAAGGCAACGAUGCGUAGCCGACCUGAGAGGGUGAUCGGCCACCCUGGGACUGAGACACGGCCCAGACUCCUACGGGAGGCAGCAGUAGGGAAUCUUCCGCAAUGGACGAAAGUCUGACGGAGCAACGCCGCGUGAGUGAUGAAGGCUUUCGGGUCGUAAAACUCUGUUGUUAGGGAAGAACAAGUGCUAGUUGAAUAAGCUGGCACCUUGACGGCACCUAACCAGAAAGCCACGGCUAACUACGUGCCAGCCGCCGCAGUAA